rnacentral:lncRNA from 1 species
CAGAAAUCUCUUCUCCCUAGAGACUUUAAAACGUGCUAUUAAGACAGAAGGAUAUGGUAAGAAUUUUUAUUCUGUAAGAAUCUUCAAAGCUCAGCAUGAAGAUACACAUCUUUCCCAUGGGAAUCCAGGCUAGAGAAAUGCAAGAAGGCGGUUCCCUCUAGAGUCUCCUUUCCUGGGAGAUGCAGCUCCAGAUGGGAAGAACAAGAGCAUUUCAAAGAAACCGCAUCCUCAGUGAACGCUGGUUAUGGUCCAAGAGCCAGCCCAGGACCCCUGUGGCACCAGCAGUGCCUUCUCCUGCUUGCCCCUCCAGCUGGUGCUCUGGGCAUCUCUGUUCUUUGUCACUCUGUGGAUUUGAGCCAGUGAGGAUUGGAAGGAAGAGGACCAAGUACAAAAAGGACAACUAGGAGGGUUAACAGCCUCUCCUAGGCAUUCACGUGAAAAGCAAUGGCAGAUCCACGUGGCCUGUAUUGGGGCAGGUGCCCUGGGGAGCAACUCCUUCAUCUCACAGAUGCUGAGGGCGAGAAUGGCAGCAGCCAUACACUGCCUGAGUUUAGAGAGGACUGCUGGGGGUGCAUGUGCAGGUGCCACGUUACCACCUAGAACACACUGUCUCAUGCUGUGAGCCAGGGCUUUUUAGGCACACAAUGAUGCAGUUCCUGCUGAAAUUCUGAAGGCAGAGGCUACACCUGAGCAGCUCCUACCGGCUCAGUGGCAUUUAGCCCAUGGGACGCGGGGGGACACUGCUUUCCAAAGUUGAGGGUCUGCCUCCUCUAUGCAGAAACAACAGGAAGGGAUAAGGAGUGGGGCUUGAGUGAAGACAGAAGCAGCAAUUCUGUUGAGAUACAUAUGAGUGCAGGGUGGAUGCUGGUGUCAGCCAUAGAGGGCCCCAAUGGCUGGUGCUGGUUAGUCAUGUAUGCAGGUCCUUCUUUUUCCUCCUACCUGUUGCUAAUCCCUUGGCUUUGCCAUUGGGUAGCAUUUGAUAGGGACUAAAGGGAGGUGAGUGGUGUCCAUCACGUGCACACAUCAUAAUGAAGAGAGGGAGAUUAAAAAGUCGAGUUUCAUAAGGCAGGCUUGCUUCUGACUUUUCUCAGAGGGCAGCACCCCUUCCUUUUGAUAAUUCUGAAGAUAAGCAGAACAGACUAGGUUUCACAGUCCACUUAUCUACUAAGUUAGGCCUUCGCAAUGAAAAGAAAAACCAUUAAAAGGCAUCUCUGGAGAAAAUGGUCUUAUCCUCUUAAAGGAUAAUUGAAGCUUCUCAGUGACUUCAAAUCUUAUAUGGAGUUCUCUCAAACAUUUAAAGAAGAAUUAACAAGAAACCACCACAAACACUUCCAAAACACAGAAGAGGGAACACUUUCUAAGCUUAUCCUAUGAGAUGGACACCAAAACCCAAGAGAUCACAAGGUGGUGGGUGGCAGGUGGGGUGGGGGUGGGGGUCUUGGAACCAAUCCCCCGUGGAUACAGAGGGCUGGCUGUUCCAGCACACCAAAUCUAACAGCUAUGUAUAAAAGGUAUCAUAAACCAUGACUUAGUGGGCUUUGACCCAAGAAUGCAAGGUUGGUUCAAGAUAUAGAAAUCAGUCAAUGUAAUAACAGCACAUGAUCUUAUGAAGGCCAAAAACUACAUUAUCUUAAGAGAUGCAGAAAAAGCAUUUGACAAAAUCCACACCCUUUCACGAUAAAAACAAACUAGGAAUAGAAGGGAACCUCCCCAACCUAAUAGAGGGUAUGUAUGGAAAACCCAGGGUUAACAUCAUAGUUAAUGGUGAGACUGAAAGCUUUCCCCUAAGAUGAGGAACAAGACAAGGAUGUUCACUCUCGCACUGCUAUUCAACAUUGUACUAGAGAUUCUAGCCAGCGAAACGGGGUAAGAAAGAAUAAAGGACAUCUAGACUGAGAGGAAGAAGUGAAACUGUCUAUUCAUAGAUGACAUGAUUUUGUACACAGCAUCAGGAAUCUACAAAGGUGUUAAAAGAGCUGAUAAAUCUUAUAUGACAGUUUGGUUCUAAAAGCAGCACUUAAGGCAAAAAACUGUUCACAGAUGGUUAAAUUUUUUCCAUAAAGUAGACACAGUUUGCUGUGUACAGCCCUGUACAGUACGCACACACAGUGCAUACAGAGAGCCUGUACGUCAUGCAGUAAACCACGACAGCUACAAAUCGGUCUGCUCCUGAGAGGCUACUGCAUGGCUUUCCAAUUUGUGUGUAUUCAUAAAUUAGGUGAGGAAUGUGACUUUUUGACUCAAAAUAGGCAAAAGGAAGUUGUAACUGGGUGUCAAGAGACACCAGCCCUGAGUGAGCAGCGCAGACUGAGAACAGGUCCGAGAAUGACUGGAGAUUCUAUCUUGAGAGUGUCUGGCAUUGCCUUUCACAGGAGCGAUGGGCAAGUGAAACUUACUACCUGGCUUUAGGCUCCUGGGGUCCUGAAUUAUCUACUUCAUUGUAAUGAAGGCAUCAGAAUGUAACUUAAUCUCACAGGAGUGGCAUCCCUACUUUUGGAAGGCCCCCUGAUAGAAACUGUAUUCAAAAAUACCAUUCCAAAGUGGAGAUCUAUGAUUUCUCUUCUCAUCUCUGUUUGGUGUUGUCCGAUCUUCUGUAAAUAACUGAUCAGUGCCUCAAAAUUGUCUUUAUUCUGUCCUUAUACCCUCCAUUAACCUUUCAAUCUCUCCCCAGCAAUGUAAGCCAUCCCUGCUUACCUGCCCAGCUCCCACAGCUUGUCCCUCGAACGCACCUGCAGGAGGCUGUGACCCAUGCAGUGGCAAUGCGGCUAGCUGUGUCCAUGGCCUGUGGAAAUAUGCCAGCCCAGCAGAACAGCUGGAAUCCUACACUAUUAAUAUGGUUAUGUUUUCCAAGCAAGUACUGCUCAAUUUAUACAAGUUAAAUGCACAUCUGUGAUUUGAUAGCACAGCUGAGAACUGUUAUAACAUCUAACAAUUAAAUGACAGUAACAGUAUAUGACAAAUUAGGGGAAAGAACCACAACUUCAAAAGGAUAGUUUCCUUUUAAGAAGAAACUAACAUGAAAAAAGACUGACAUCCACCCCAAAAAACAGGCAAAUACCACAUUAAGUAAUUUACCAAAAACAAGAAAAGCAAAUGGAUAAUAAAUAUAUGGAAAUAUUCAAGCUCACAAUUUAUCAUACAUCAAAUUCUUCACUUAUUAAAACAGCACCAACAGAAAAAGAAAUACCUGUGCUUCAGGGAUAAUGGAAACUCAAUGUACUUACUCCCUUUCCUAGAUUAGAACAAUUUCUUUUCUCAGCUGGACGUGGUGGCUCAUGCCUGUAAUCCCAGCACUUUGGGAAGCUGAGGCAGGUGGAUUGCUUGAGCUCAAACUCCUGAGACCAGCCUGGGCAACAUGGUGAAACCCCAUCUCUACUAAAAAUACAAAAAAACAGCUGAGCAUGGUGGUAUAUGCCUGUGGUCCUGACUGCUUGGGAGGCUGAGGUGGGAGGAUCACUGGAGGGUGAGGUGGGAGGAUCACUUGAGCCUGGGGGACAGAGGUUGCAGUAAGCCGACAUCAUACCCCUGCACUCCAGCCUGGGUGACAGAGCAAGACCCUGUCUCAAAAACAAACUCCAAAAAAAUUUUUUUUCAUGAACAAUCUAGAAAUAUAUUUAAAAGCCUUAAAAUAUGUUUGACUCAUGAUGUUGGCUGUACUACCAGUGGUUGUAAGGAGACGGCCACAUUGUUGUGUGACGAUGCUUAUCAUAGUUAUUGAUGCUAACGGCGAGACACUCAGGAACCCCAAUAUGUUGUGAUGAAAAAGCCUGUUCCAUCUGGGUGAUUCUGUGGAGCUAAUAAAAGCCAAGUUUCCAAAUAACAUUUAGGAUAUGGUUCUACGUUUCUAAAAAAAGGCAGGGUCGGGACGGGGGGCGUUGUGAAGUAACAGUGGUAUACGGGACAUUUAUGGUCUUAUGAAAAACUAACAUAUAUUCGCAGAGGCCCCAGGUAUUUGCAUCGCCUCAGGAGAAACUAUAAUUUGACAAAUAAAUGCAUUCUUGGCCAUUUGUGUCAGUUCACAGAAGUGGGGCUGAAAAAUCCAGAAUCUUUUUUUAGUCCUAUUUAUAACGCCAUAAAAGUAUACUUUUAUUAUUAUGCUUAAAGGAAAAAGUAGAAAUGAUUUGCUUGGGCUCCUUGACCCUAUUCAAAAAUGGAAAUAUACAACAAUACGUUUCUAUCCUAUGCCUGCUGAGGGGAUUUUUCAUACUCUUUUCAGCAUGCACAAUAAUCUUUGGGUGGUGGGACUGAUUUUCUAAUUUUCUAAAAUGGACAUGCGUUAUUUUAAAAACGAA